GGUUAAGCGACUAAGCGUACACGGUGGAUGCCUAGGCAAUCAGAGGCGAUGAAGGACGUGCUAAUCUGCGAUAAGCGUCGGUAAGGUGAUAUGAACCGUUACAACCGACGAUUUCCGAAUGGGGAAACCCAGUGCAAUYCGUUGCACUAUCGUUUGAUGAAUACAUAGUCAAACGAAGCGAACCGGGGGAACUGAAACAUCUCAGUACCCCGA
rnacentral:rRNA from 1 species